rnacentral:rRNA from 1 species
CCAAUAGCGUAUAUUAAAGUUGUUGCAGUUAAAAAGCUCGUAGUUGAAUUUCGGGACUAGUACGCUGGUCAUGCCUUUGGUAUGUACUGGUGUUACUGGUUCCUACCUUCUGACGAACCGUCAUGUCAUUCAUUUGGUGUGGCGGGGAAUCAGGACUGUUACUUUGAAAAAAUUAGAGUGUUUAAAGCAGGCUCGCGCUUGAAUACAUUAGCAUGGAAUAAUGAAAUAGGACGUUUGAUCCUAUUUUGUUGGUUUCUAGGAUUGACGUAAUGAUUAAUAGGGAUAGUUGGGGGCAUUAGUAUUCAAUUGUCAGAGGUGAAAUUCUUGGAUUUAUUGAAGACUAACUACUGCGAAAGCAUUUGCCAAGGAUGUUUUCAUUAAUCAAGAACGAAAGUUAGGGGAUCGAAGACGAUCAGAUACCGUCGUAGUCUUAACCAUAAACUAUGCCGACUAGGGAUCGGAUGAUGUUAUUUUUAAUGACUCAUUCGGCGCCUUACG